CUAAAAUGUAUUGAUUUUAGUAAAUUUUUAAAAAGAAGCAUUCAUUUAGCGACUAUAUUUCAGAAGUGCUCACAUGUAUUAAAUUAGCAACAUUAUUUGUGACAAUAUUUAUUCAAGUCUUUUUAAUGAUCUUAAAUAUUCUCAACAUAAUAAUUGGUCCAUAAUCUACCAUGAUUUGGGCAGGUCUUUGCAGAAGAAAUGAUUGUAGUGAGGCCUGCCUGAACAAAGGAGAAAGUAAACCAUUUUGUUUCUUACAUCUGGGCAAAACUCUCUAUCCUAGACCACAUCACAGUCUUUAACUUGUCUGUUACUUUCCUGCUAUCCUCUCACCCAACUAGUAAUAGCACUUUUUCAAAAACACACCUGACUACUUAGUACUUUCUGCUGUUUAGAACUUCAGUGGCUUCCCACCAUUCACGCAUUGGAGGUAGAAUUUUUAAGGCUAUUAAGUAACCCUAAACUUCAUGAACUGCCCCCUGCUGGUAUCUCCCAUCUGCCCUCACAUUCCACUCCUUUCCCCUCUCUGAGCUUCUCUCAGAUCUUUGAACAGAGUACACUUUCUCACCUCUGCAUCUUGGCACAUACAGUUCCCUCAUCCUUCUUUAUCCUUCCUCCAUCACCAUUACCCAAUGGCUAUUCAUCCUUCAGGUGUCAGCUCAACUGUGUCUUUCUCACAGAGGUUCCCCCCGCCCAACCCCAAUCCAGGUAGAAACCUCCCCUCCCUUGCCCCCAACAUAUAGUCUAAGAGCCACUUGUUCUCUUAUUCUUAUUGUCAUCACAUUUGACAACAAUUGCAUGCUCAAUGUCUAUCUUCCUGCAGGUUUGUAAGUACUGGAAGACUGGGAAUCAAUUCUGUAUUGUUAAACUCUAUCUCCUUCAUUUCCCCGUGCCUGACAUCUAAUAAACACUUGAUGAAUCUUUAUGAAUAAUAAAUGAAGAGCAAUGAUAAAUGGAUAAAUGAAUAAAAGCAAUGAAUGUCAAGGGCAAUAUGAACAAGGAGAAAGUGUUAUUUUGAAGUCUGAGAAUUAACAUCCAAUAAUUUAACUGUGACUCUCUCACUUGUUAUAUUUUACCCAUAUUCAUUGUUCAUUGGCAAAAUUCUGGCAGAGAGGGAUUUUUUCCCUCUAAAAAAUCUUUUGUUUUCUUGGA